ACUCCUCCUAGACGCCUAGCAAGUGUGACUGUUAUGUUACCUGUGUCAGCAGGUGGCAGAGAGAAGAGAGGCUAUGCCUAUGCUCACAGUUCUGACCUCUGGACACCUAAAUGAGUAGUAGCCUAACAUU